UAAAGCAUGCGGUUGACGCUAGACGACUGAGUGACACUAUCUCCCCGCGAUCAAUAUCUCUGGAAGUAAAUAGAGAACAAUCAUUCAGUGGAUUGAAAAAAAUCUCAUGAUCUUUAUCGUCGAGGAUCUUCGCACGAUAAUUUCCUCAAUGAGAGCCACUUCAUGGUUUCAUAAUUAAUUAUAUGGGUACGUUUUAUUCUAAAGUUAUCAUGAUGUAACGUAUACACAAAUUUGGAUGUCAUUUAGGUGAUUCUGAAUCACUGAGUGGUGAGAUCGCGAUCGCUGAAUCUAUUUUGGUGCCGAGAUUGCGAUCGAAUCGAUCUGAUUAAGUGACGAUAAUUGGUGAGAUAGGGAGAGGAAUCGAAUACGGCACCACCUGGCGGUGGCGUCCCUGAAGCUGAACCUUUGCCAUCAUUUUUAUUCAUAAUUUAUGAAUAAUGAGAACUCCGGCGUGAGUGAAUAAUAGAAUAAUAAUUAUUAUGAUAUGAGAGAGAAAAGUAAUCGACAGUUUAUUCUAGAUGACGUCCAAAAAUU